rnacentral:rRNA from 1 species
UAGUAGAGCGGCGCACGGGUGCGUAACACGUGGAUAAUCUGCCUGGAUGCCUGGGAUAACCAGUCGAAAGAUUGGCUAAUACCGGAUAAGCCCACGGUCUCCUCGGAGACUGAGGGAAAAGGUGGCCUCUGUAUACAAGCUAUCACAACCAGAUGAGUCCGCGGCCCAUCAGCUAGUUGGCGGGGUAAUGGCCCACCAAGGCAACGACGGGUAGCUGGUCUGAGAGGACGAUCAGCCACACUGGAACUGAGACACGGUCCAGACUCCUACGGGAGGCAGCAGUGGGGAAUUUUGCGCAAUGGGCGAAAGCCUGACGCAGCAACGCCGCGUGUGUGAUGAAGGUCUUUGGAUUGUAAAGCACUUUCGACCGGGACGAAACCGUAAAGCCUAAUACGCUUUGCCUUGACGGUACCGGGAGAAGAAGCACCGGCUAACUCUGUGCCAGCAGCCGCGGUAAUACAGAGGGUGCAAGCGUUGUUCGGAAUUAUUGGGCGUAAAGCGCGUGUAGGCGGCUUUGCAAGUCGGGUGUGAAAGCCCUCAGCUCAACUGAGGAAGUGCGCCCGAAACUGCAGAGCUUGAGUGCCGGAGAGGGUGGCGGAAUUCCCCAAGUAGAGGUGAAAUUCGUAGAUAUGGGGAGGAACACCGGUGGCGAAGGCGGCCACCUGGACGGUAACUGACGCUGAGACGCGAAAGCGUGGGUAGCAAACAGGAUUAGAUACCCUGGUAGUCCACGCCGUAAACGAUGAGAACUAGGUGUCGUGGGAGUUGACCCCCGCGGUGCCGUAGCUAACGCAUUAAGU